rnacentral:rRNA from 1 species
GUCGAACGGUAACAGGAAGCAGCUUGCUGCUUCGCUGACGAGUGGCGGACGGGUGAGUAAUGUCUGGGAAACUGCCUGAUGGAGGGGGAUAACUACUGGAAACGGUAGCUAAUACCGCAUAACGUCGCAAGACCAAAGAGGGGGACCUUCGGGCCUCUUGCCAUCGGAUGUGCCCAGAUGGGAUUAGCUAGUAGGUGGGGUAACGGCUCACCUAGGCGACGAUCCCUAGCUGGUCUGAGAGGAUGACCAGCCACACUGGAACUGAGACACGGUCCAGACUCCUACGGGAGGCAGCAGUGGGGAAUAUUGCACAAUGGGCGCAAGCCUGAUGCAGCCAUGCCGCGUGUAUGAAGAAGGCCUUCGGGUUGUAAAGUACUUUCAGCGGGGAGGAAGGGAGUAAAGUUAAUACCUUUGCUCAUUGACGUUACCCGCAGAAGAAGCACCGGCUAACUCCGUGCCAGCAGCCGCGGUAAUACGGAGGGUGCAAGCGUUAAUCGGAAUUACUGGGCGUAAAGCGCACGCAGGCGGUUUGUUAAGUCAGAUGUGAAAUCCCCGGGCUCAACCUGGGAACUGCAUCUGAUACUGGCAAGCUUGAGUCUCGUAGAGGGGGGUAGAAUUCCAGGUGUAGCGGUGAAAUGCGUAGAGAUCUGGGAGGAGUACCGGUGGCGAAGGCGGCCCCCUGGACCAAGACUGACGCUCAGGUGCGAAAGCGUGAGGACAAACGGGAUUAUAUGC